rnacentral:lncRNA from 1 species
AGAAACGUGAGUUACUAUUCACUUUAAGUGAAAAGUAAUAAUCGCGUAAAAAAUUUAUUUAAAAAUUUUUUUUGCUGAAAUUUGACGGCUAAGUUUAAAAUUAAAAUACACUCGAUAAUAUUUAAAAAUAUGUCAAAUUUACUUAGGAAAAUUUUUUAGUUCUCACAUUAAAUUUAAUCCGAACAAAUCUAUUCUGCCCGAAUUCAAUUUCCAAUCCGGCAUAGAUUUGCCCGGAUUCAAUUUCCAAUCCGGCCUCCUAGGUUGGAUUGGAAAAAGGAGUAAUUGGGAGAUUCCCAUUCAUUCGGGAGUCAGAAUCGGAAUAAAAAUUUUGCAUACCAAAUACUGACAAAUGGAUUCGUCCAUUUCGAUUCUGAUUGCAGUGUGAAAAAGGGACGAA